AUUGAACGCUGGCGGCAGGCCUAACACAUGCAAGUCGAGCGAGCGGCGGACGGGUGAGUAAUGUAUGGGGAACUGCCCGAUGGAGGGGGAUAACUACUGGAAACGGUGGCUAAUACCGCAUACUAUAGGAUGAACCCAGAUGGGAUUAGCUAGUUGGUGGGGUAAAGGCUCACCAAGGCGACGAUCUCUAGCUGUUCUGAGAGGAUGAUCAGCCACACUGGGACUGAUACACGGCCCAGACUCCUACGGGAGGCAGCAGUGGGGAAUAUUGCACAAUGGGCGCAAGCCUGAUGCAGCCAUGCCGCGUGUAUGAAGAAGGCCUUCGGGUUGUAAAGUACUUUCAGCGGGGAGGCGUUACCCGCAGAAGAAGCACCGGCUAACUCCGUGCCAGCAGCCGCGGUAAUUC
rnacentral:rRNA from 1 species